AGACGCAGGGGGCGAGCGUUGUCCGGAAUUACUGGGCGUAAAGAGCACGUAGGCGGGACCUUAAGUCAGGUGUGAAAGACCGGGGCCUAACCCCGGGGUUGCACUUGAAACUGGGGUUCUUGAGGGCAGGAGAGGAAAGCAGAAUUCCUGGUGUAGCGGUGAAAUGCGUAGAAAUCAGGAGGAAUACCAGUGGCGAAGGCGGCUUUCUGGACUGACCCUGACGCUGAGGUGCGAAAGCGUGGGUAGCAAACAGGAUUAGAUACCCUGGUAGUCCACGCUGUAAACGAUGGAUACUAGGUGUGGGAGGUAUCGACCCCUUCCGUGCCGGAGCUAACGCAAUAAGUAUCCCGCCUGGGGAGUACGGUCGCAAGGCUGAA
rnacentral:rRNA from 1 species